UACGAAGGGAGCUAGCGUUGUUCGGAAUCACUGGGCGUAAAGCGCACGUAGGCGGAUGUGUCAGUCAGGGGUGAAAUCCCGGAGCUCAACUUCGGAACUGCCUUUGAUACAGCACGUCUUGAGUCCGGAAGAGGUGGGUGGAAUUCCUAGUGUAGAGGUGAAAUUCGUAGAUAUUAGGAAGAACACCGGUGGCGAAGGCGGCCCACUGGUCCGGUACUGACGCUGAGGUGCGAAAGCUAGGGGAGCAAACAGG
rnacentral:rRNA from 1 species